GAGUUUGAUCGUGGCUCAGGAUGAACGCUGGCGGCGUGCCUAAUACAUGCAAGUCGAGCGAACGGACGAGAAGCUUGCUUCUCUGAUGUUAGCGGCGGACGGGUGAGUAACACGCGGAUAACCUACCUAUAAGACUGGGAUAACUUCGGGAAACCGGAGCUAAUACCGGAUAAUAUUUUGAACCGCAUGGUUCAAAAGUGAAAGACGGUCUUGCUGUCACUUAUAGAUGGAUCCGCGCUGCAUUAGCUAGUUGGUAAGGUAACGGCUUACCAAGGCAACGAUGCAUAGCCGACCUGAGAGGGUGAUCGGCCACACUGGAACUGAGACACGGUCCAGACUCCUACGGGAGGCAGCAGUAGGGAAUCUUCCGCAAUGGGCGAAAGCCUGACGGAGCAACGCCGCGUGAGUGAUGAAGGUCUUCGGAUCGUAAAACUCUGUUAUUAGGGAAGAACAUAUGUGUAAGUAACUGUGCACAUCUUGACGGUACCUAAUCAGAAGGCCACGGCUAACUACGU
rnacentral:rRNA from 1 species